AAUGCACACAACUAGGGCAGGUAGCUCAGUGGUACCAAUGUAGGAGGUCCUGGGUUCAAUCCCUAGCCUGUCCAGAUCCAUUUUCCAACAACUAGGACACACAGACAAAUAUCCAUGUUUCGAACAGUUGAGGAACUAAAUUCAAGUUUGCCAUACAAGCGUCCAUUCUUUCAGAACUCCGAGGUCGAUCUGAGGCCACUUCUAAAGAAUCUUUUGCCAGUGUGGGAGGUCAGCCGUCUUAGAACACGAGGAGAAAAAGUCUGACAGUUUGUUCCUCCAGGUUGAAAGAUGAUACUCUUUGGGAUCGCAAUUCUCUACUUGCAGAGAUUCAACGAACUGGACCGUGGUAAUCCCAAGCAGAAUCCCCGGAGAGCCCCUCCGUCCCGAUCCAAAUGGCAGCACUUGGAAGCUCUGGCCUUUUUCACAUCGAUGUCCGGAUGCCGAAGAAACCGCUCGGGAUCGAACUUGAGAGCCGAUGUUGACGAGCGCCCGAGUUCCUCACGUAUCCCUCCAGCUCGCAAGCUUGGUGAGGAAUGCUCAUGGGCCCUGGGGGAUGGAGGCGCAAUGUUUCCUUGACGAUGGCUUGGAGGAAAGUCAGCUUUAGAAGAUCAGUCUCGUCCAGGCCCGGUUUUCUUUUUCAGCUCCUCCUGAGCUCGUGGAUUUCUUACGAGCUCGUCUACAACCACUCCACCGUGAUAGCGGUCCCAGCAGCGAUCAUAUCCUACGAAGUUACGAGCAUGUCAAUCAAGGAUUCCCAGAUACGGGAAGAAGUCAGCCAGAGCGAUACUUCCAGACACCGUGAGCGCCUCGAGC